CCAGCCUGAGCUGCUGCGUCACCCGGGCAGCCUGGGAACCCAGCGAUUGGGCAACCUUGUCGCCUCUCGCCGUGUUACUCUCCUGGGCGACCUGCGGCUAAGUCUCCUCCCGGGCGGGGCCCUAGUGAAAGAGAAGAAAAUAGAGUUCUGGCUGUUGACAUCCCGUGACGCCACUUGAUUCCUGAGUGGGUGGCCCAUGCCUAGUUCGUAAAAGAACUUUUACAACAGUGCCUGGCUAGGUCCCUCCCCGGAGGGCGGGGAGAAGGGUGUCGUGCGGAGUUGGAACGAGAAAGGCUAUACUGGUAACUGUCUGGGGCUAAGGUGCUGCAACUUGGUUGACAUUUUCUGUCACCACUGUAUCCGGUGGCCUCAGUCUGUCGGAAGCAGAGUCUCUUCAAGCAUGUGUUAAUGCGUCUGGAUCCAGCAUCACAGAACAGUUCCUGGGCCAAAUGUGUCCUAGAAGAUUA
rnacentral:lncRNA from 1 species